GAUGAACGUUGGCGGUGUGACCUAAUACAUGCAAGUCGAACGGUGACGAUUUUGUAGUAAUACGAAUGAAAUCACAGUGGCGAACGGGUGAGUAACGCGUUGGUGAUCUGCCUCGAAGUGUGGAAUAACGCUCCGAAAGGAGCGCUAAUACCGCAUGUGCUCUCGAUGUUUAGAAAGUUGAGAGUAAAGGAUUUAUUCGCUUCGAGAGGAGCCUGCGUCCCAUCAGCUGGUUGGUAGGGUAACGGCCUACCAAGGCAAUGACGGGUAGGGGACCUGAGAGGGUGGCCCCCCACAAUGGAACUGAAACACGGUCCAUACACCUACGGGUGGCAGCAGUAGGGAAUAUUAGAAAUGGACGAAAGUCUGAUCUAGCGACACCGCGUGUGCGAAGAAGGCCUUCGGGUUGUAAAGCACUUUUUGGAAGGAAUAGGAAGGAAGGUACUUCCAGAAUAAGUCUCGGCUAACUACGUG
rnacentral:rRNA from 1 species